CAAGUGUUUGAAAUUGUAUUUGAUAGUUUUGUUUGGAUAUAAUCUGUUUUUCAGGAAGAACGUGAGUUCCUUAUUCCGUCAACUAUGGUAUGAUGGCAUGAACCAUCAUGUUUUUACAAUUGGAACGUGUGAAGAUUCGAUAUUGUGAUGGAGCUUCACCUGCUGGAGAUGCAGUAUAUAAGAAUUGCGUGUGAAUGCGCGUGUGAAAUGAAUGACAGACAUCGUUGCUCUAUUUCAGAGGGUAAAAGCUUUGGGAAGCCAUCAUUCUUGAUCUUCUACCCAAAGGUUUAGGAAAGGCGCAUAAGAAAGGUUUAGGUGUGCAAGGGAUACAUCAUUCGGAAGAGAAGGCAUUUGAACUUCUGGAGCCAGUCACCAGUUUUCCUUUGGAUUGUGGGACAGUUUUGUUGAAGUUGAUGAACUGUUGAAGUUUCCGUAAAAUCUUUAUGAAUGUUUAUUUUAACAACUGUUGUUAACGAGUUGUGAAUUGGAUUUUUAUACUAAAUUUGUUUGGCAUCAUAAAAACUACUACAGUUUUCCUAUUAUGUAAAGCUGUUGUAAUUUCUUUUCUAUACUCUUUACUGAUCAAGAGUUGUUAAUAUUGAAAGCAAC